UCCAGCUACCGGUGUGACACCACUACACAUGGAGUUGGGACACAGCACAUCAUCACGUAGAAGUGCCACCAUCCAGAUACAGUAGAUGUAAGUAACCAAAGGAGCAUAAUAAUAGGGGUAAUGUUUCACCCUGCUUGAUGGCUGCUCUUGAGAGUGAUUCUCCUGCACUUUGGGACUGUACUCAGUGAGGGCAAAGCCAACAAUGGCACCCAGAGAAAACCUUCAGGAGGCGGCAUCGGUUUUCGUUACCCAUGGCCAACUGCAUUCUGGAAGAAGAUGAUCCUCCCCCUGACCUAUCAUCUGAAGGCCAAGAGUAGCCUGAGGCUAUGUCGUUCACCUCACAUCAUCUCAUCACGUAGGCAUUUUAUCAUCUCACGUUAUCACAAGAAGCAGGGCUGCACUCAUAGCUGGGACGCAGCUGGACAGCCCUUGUAGCUGCUUGUGUGGUCAGGGGAUUCACUCUCCCCCCAUGGAAUGUAAGAGAAAAUAAAAACAAUGUGUAUCACUUCCA